AGUGAACGCUGGCGGCGUGCUUAACACAUGCAAGUCGAACGAGAACGGAAUAUAGCUUGCUAUAUUUGUCAGCUAAGUGGCGCACGGGUGAGUAAUGUAUAGAUAACCUGCCCUUAAGAAAGGAAUAACAGUUGGAAACGACUGCUAAUGCCCUAUAUGCCUUUAAUACAUAAGUAUGCAAGGGAAACGCCUUAGUGCUUAAGGAUGGGUCUGUAUGGUAUCAGCUUGUUGGUGAGGUAAUGGCUCACCAAGGCUAUGACGCCUAACUGGUUUGAGAGGAUGAUCAGUCACACUGGAACUGAGACACGGUCCAGACUACUACGGGAGGCAGAAGUGGGGAAUAUUGCACAAUGGACGAAAGUCUGAAGCAGCACCGCCGCGUGGAGGAUGACACAUUUCGGUGCGUAAACUCCUUUUAUAUAGGAAGAUAAUGACGGUACAAUAUGAAUAAGCACCGGCUAACUCCGUGCCAGCCGCCGCCGUAA
rnacentral:rRNA from 1 species